rnacentral:rRNA from 1 species
UACGGAGGGUGCAAGCGUUAAUCGGAAUUACUGGGCGUAAAGCGAGUGUAGGCGGUGUGGUAAGUCGGAUGUGAAAGCCCCGGGCUCAACCCGGGAAGUGCAUUCGAUACUGCCACGCUAGAGUAUCGGAGAGGUUGGUGGAAUUCUCGGUGUAGAGGUGAAAUUCGUAGAUAUCGAGAGGAACACCGGUGGCGAAGGCGGCCAACUGGACGAAUACUGACGCUGAGACUCGAAAGCGUGGGGAGCAAACAGG